UUAUAAAAAAAUAUUAAACAAGUAAAAAGAAUUGAAAAUAUAACAAUAGCUUGUUGUAAGAUCAAUUGCAGAUUCAGAUUUUGAAUUCAAAGAAAUUCAAUAGAGAUUUUAGGGAGUUCUUCAUAUAUGUGCACCUGGCUCCCUCCCCGGUUGGAGCAGCAAAAAUUAAACAGAUCAAUCUUGUGGACCAGAGGAAGGGAAACAACAACCGUCUUAUAGGCUUGAGCGCCACUUUUAGGACUUUGGUUCGACUUGAGGACUUGAUGUAACGGAAAAGCUUGCCGACGACUGCUAUUUAUGUUAUCAUAGAUAGAUCUUUGGGGAUGAAAGGCACUUUGGUAAGGCCUUAUUAAGAAGGGGAGAGGAGGUCGUAUACGAUUGACUAGGAUUUUUGAGAUAAUUUUAUAAGUGACUUGCAUAGUCUUAUUGGUCUGUAUUGCGAUGGUUUAGUAGGGUGUUCCAAUUUUGGGAUUAGGGUGAUGUUUGUGUGGUUCAUGAGAGGAUGGAUGUUAACAGAGUUGAAAAAAAUGCGUACCAUAUCGAUAAGUUGCAAUCGGGUUGUUUCCCAUAAAACUUUGAAGAACCUGCUAGUAUAGCCAUCAGGUCCAGGGGCACACUCAGAGCUGAUGGAAAACAACGCUUGCUUGAUCCUCUCGGGGUUUACUUCUGCUGUAAGAAGAGAACAUUGUUAUGGAGUUAACCUUGGGGGUGAUGUUUUCAAAAAAAAUAAAUAAAUUCAACCACCGUCAUACUUGGUGCCGUAUAUUGAUUUGUGAAGUGAUCAAGCAUAAGAUUGAUGGUAGCAUCUUUAUCAUGGAUCCAAUUAUUUUUUUGAUCAUGUAGUUGUUGUAUAUUUUUGUAGUUUCGAUGAAUUAUUGCUUUGGUGUGAAAAAAA